UACGAAGGGGGCUAGCGUUGUUCGGAAUCACUGGGCGUAAAGGGCGCGUAGGCGGCUUAUAAGUCGGGGGUGAAAGCCUGUGGCUCAACCACAGAAUUGCCUUCGAUACUGUAGAGCUUGAGACCGGAAGAGGUAAGUGGAACUGCGAGUGUAGAGGUGAAAUUCGUAGAUAUUCGCAAGAACACCAGUGGCGAAGGCGGACUUACUGGUCCGGUUCGUGACGCUGAGGCGCGAAAAGCGUGGGGAGCAAACAGG
rnacentral:rRNA from 1 species